UACGGAGGGUGCAAGCGUUGUUCGGAAUUACUGGGCGUAAAGCGCACGUAGGCGGGUCUACUUGUCGAUUGUGAAAUCCCCGGGCUUAACCUGGGAACUGCAGUCGAAACGGUAGAUCCUGAAUGUUUGAGAGGAUGGCGGAAUUCCUGGUGUAGUAGUGAAAUACGUAGAUAUCAGGAGGAACACCGGAGGCGAAGGCGGCUAUCUGGCAUUACAUUGACGCUGAGGUGCGAAAGCGUGGGGAGCAAACAGG
rnacentral:rRNA from 1 species